rnacentral:rRNA from 1 species
UGGGGAAUCUUGGACAAUGGGCGCAAGCCUGAUCCAGCCAUGCCGCGUGAGUGACGAAGGCCUUAGGGUUGUAAAGCUCUUUUGGCGGGGAAGAUAAUGACGGUACCCGCAGAAUAAGCUCCGGCUAACUUCGUGCCAGCAGCCGCGGUAAUACGAAGGGAGCUAGCGUUGUUCGGAAUCACUGGGCGUAAAGCGCACGUAGGUGGGCAGUUAAGUCAGGGGUGAAAGCCCGAGGCUCAACCUCGGAACUGCCUCCAAAACUACAAGUCUGGACCUAAGUAGAGGCAAGUGGAAUUGCGAGUGUAGAGGUGAAAUUCGUAGAUAUUCGGAAGAACACCAGUGGCGAAGGCGGCUCACUGGACGUGUAUUGACGCUGAGGUACGAAAGCGUGGGGAGCAAACAGGAUUAGAUACCCUCGUAGUCCCUGAGCGGGCUGGCAAGGCGCAU